UACGUAGGGGGCAAGCGUUGUCCGGAUUUAUUGGGCGUAAAGGGCUCGUAGGCGGCCAACUAAGUCGGAUGUGAAAUCCCCAGGCUUAACCUGGGAACUGCAUCCGAUACUGGAUGGCUUGAAUCCGGGAGAGGGAUGCGGAAUUCCAGGUGUAGCGGUGAAAUGCGUAGAUAUCUGGAGGAACACCGGUGGCGAAGGCGGCAUCCUGGACCAACACUGACACUGAGGAGCGAAAGCCAGGGGAGCAAACGGG
rnacentral:rRNA from 1 species